UACGUAGGGUGCAAGCGUUGUCCGGAAUUAUUGGGCGUAAAGAGCUCGUAGGCGGUCUGUCGCGUCGGCUGUGAAACCCGGGGCUCAACCCCGGGCCUGCAGUCGAUACGGGCAGACUAGAGUGCGGCAGGGGAGACUGGAAUUCCUGGUGUAGCGGUGAAAUGCGCAGAUAUCAGGAGGAACACCGGUGGCGAAGGCGGGUCUCUGGGCCGAUACUGACGCUGAGGAGCGAAAGCGUGGGGAGCGAACAGG
rnacentral:rRNA from 1 species